CCCUACGGGGGGCAGCAGUAGGGAAUCUUCGGCAAUGGACGAAAGUCUGACCGAGCAACGCCGCGUGAGUGAAGAAGGUUUUCGGAUCGUAAAACUCUGUUGGUAGAGAAGAACGUUGGUGAGAGUGGAAAGCUCAUCAAGUGACGGUAACUACCCAGAAAGGGACGGCUAACUACGUGCCAGCAGCCGCGGUAAUACGUAGGUGGCGAGCGUUAUCCGGAAUGAUUGGGCGUAAAGGGUGCGCAGGCGGUCCUGCAAGUCUGGAGUGAAACGCA
rnacentral:rRNA from 1 species